rnacentral:tRNA from 1 species
GCCUCGGCGGCCGGGCGGCGCGGGGCGGCCUGGUGUGCCGUCUCGAGCUCGUGACCCGGCGCGGCGCCGAGUUCGUCGCGCAGCCGUUGCC